UUGCCGUCACUGUGUGCGCCGGGAGAAGAUGGCGGCGGGCGGUGUGGGCGCGGGCCGGAAGCAGGUGCGGCAGGAGGAGCUGCGGCGCCUGAUGCGCGAGAAGCAGCGGCAGAACGCGGGCAGGAAGCGGGUCGAGUCGCCCUUCGCCAAGUACAACAGCCUGGGGCACCUGAGCUGCACGCUGUGCAACGCGCCCGUGAAGAGCGAGCUGCUGUGGCAGACACACGUCCUGGGCAAGCAGCACCGCGAGAGAGUUGCAGAAUUAAAAGGCACAAAGCAGACAGCAGCUGGUUCAGCUGCUACCACAUCAUCUCAUCCUGUCAAGAGAAAAACUGUUGACACAGAAAAUACAGAGUUAAAGAGAGUAAAAGGUACAGACGAAAAGCCACAUACGUCUACAUCUGGGCUACCAGCAGAUUUUUUUGAUGAAACAGAGCGAGACAGUGCAAACAAACAGCUUUCAAAGGCUCCAGGUCCUAGUUUAUUGUCAGGAAAUUAUGAUGACGAUGAUGAUGGUGAUGAAGAGGAGGAACAAGAUCAAUCAAACACAUCUUCUGUUACGAAUAAAACUGAAAUUCCACCUCCAGCUCAAGAAGUAACAGCUAAUGCUCUGCCUGCAGACUUCUUUGACAGCAACACUACAGCUGCUCCUAUACUUUCCCAUUCAGGAUCCAUACAGAAAGCAGAGAUACAGGAGAAGGUAGUGGAAAGGAAAGAAAACACUGCUGAAGCUUUGCCGGAAGGUUUCUUUGAUGAUCCUGAAGUGGAUGCAAAAGUGCGAAAAGUUGAUGCUCCAAAGGAUCAGAUGGACAAAGAAUGGGAUGAAUUUCAAAAGGCAAUGCGACAGGUCAACACAAUUUCAGAAGCAAUAGUGGCAGAAGAGGAUGAGGAGGGACGACUAGAUCGUCAGAUUGGAGAAAUUGACGAGCAGAUUGAAUGUUAUCGCCGUGUUGAGCUUUUGCGUAACCGCCAGGAUCUGAUGAAGGAGAAAUUAAAGGAAGCCAUGAGAUUAAAAGCAACACAAGAGAAAGAGGAUGAGGCUAUUGGUAGCGAAGAUGAAGAAGAGUUGCAGGAUUUGCUGUCUCAAGACUGGCGGGUGAAGGGGGCUUUGUUGUAGCAUUUCUGCAACAUGGUUGAUAUUCUCUUCAUCUGUGAUGUGUACCCAUAGUGUAGCAUACCCCACAUUUCUUGAACCAGAGGAAUGGAAACACGUGGUGAUAAAUUUGCAUAACUAAAUGAAAGGGUGACAAAAUGCCAGAAGGGAAGGUACUGCACUGGAAACUAAUGAGAUGAAGUAAAAUCAAGAACCAAAAAACUUGACGAGACUGGGAGAUGGACAGUAAAACUACCUUGAGCUUCGUUACUGUCUUGUGACAUGUGCCAGUCUGUGGAGUGACAGGACACAUGCAUUGAUGCAGAAACUGAUUUAAUCAACAUUACUGUGUUCCUUCCUGGAGCCAAGGAGUAAGUACGCUUCAGUGGUUUCUCCUUGCUGGGGUGCCAGAGGGACGGAAGCCCCCGGGCUGGCGCCCGCCCGCUGUUGGAACUAGUUGUUAGGUGGUGCCCGGGUGUUAGUCGUUAUGGAGAGCGGAAGACGACUUGAGCCGGCAACAGUUAACACUAGCAAUUUAACAGAAACUAAAAAGAUGCCGUAUUGUUUCCUUGACAACUAGGAUCUACCACA